GAUGAACGCUAGCUACAGGCUUAACACAUGCAAGUCGAGGGGCAGCAUGAACUUAGCUUGCAAACUUUUGAUGGCGACCGGCGCACGGGUGAGUAACACGUAUCCAACCUGCCUCAUACUCGGGGAUAGCCUUUCGAAAGAAAGAUUAAUACCCGAUGUUAUAGUCCUACCGCAUGAUGGGAUUAUUAAAGAAUUUCGGUAUGGGAUGGGGAUGCGUUCCAUUAGUUAGUUGGCGGGGUAACGGCCCACCAAGACAACGAUGGAUAGGGGUUCUGAGAGGAAGGUCCCCCACAUUGGAACUGAGACACGGUCCAA
rnacentral:rRNA from 1 species